AGUGAACGCUGGCGGUAGGCCUAACACAUGCAAGUCGAACGGCAGCACAGUAAGAGCUUGCUCUUACGGGUGGCGAGUGGCGGACGGGUGAGGAAUACAUCGGAAUCUACUUUUUCGUGGGGGAUAACGUAGGGAAACUUACGCUAAUACCGCAUACGACCUACGGGUGAAAGCAGGGGAUCUUCGGACCUUGCGCGAUUGAAUGAGCCGAUGUCGGAUUAGCUAGUUGGCGGGGUAAAGGCCCACCAAGGCGACGAUCCGUAGCUGGUCUGAGAGGAUGAUCAGCCACACUGGAACUGAGACGAGGUCCAGAAGCCUACGGGAGGAAGCAGUGGGGAAUAUUGGACAAUGGGGGCAAGCAGGAUCCAGCCAUACCGCGUGGGUGAAGAAGGACUUCGGGUUGUAAAGCCCUUUUGUUGGGAAAGAAAAGCAGCAGGUUAAUACCCCGCUGUUCUGACGGUACCCAAAGAAUAAGCACCGGCUAACUUCGUG
rnacentral:rRNA from 1 species